UGUCAACUCCUAAACAAAGUCUUAUCCAUAUUGCUAUCAAAUCAUCUCUAUGCUCUUGCAAUACCAUCAUUCUGAUUUCUUUUAGUAAGAACACCUUCACUUUAUCACCUCUUCUAAAAUAACUAUGCAACUUAGAUCUGUUAAUAUGAGCUCAACGCAAUACCAUUGUUUCUUCUCUUUCAGUUAACUUGAGUUCUUUUGGAAUUUUUACCCCUUCUUUUUUCUAAUCUACAAAUCUUUCCAUUGAUUUAGAUCUAUUUUUAUGCCUACAAUCAACAAUCACUUUCUAUAGCAAUCCUCACCUUCUUUUUCUUAGAUUUUCUUAUUCAUUUUAUAAAACUAGAUCAUAAUUCCAUCUUUUAUGUAAUCGAGCCUAAAUUACUAAUCUAUCCAUCAAUUUCAACUUCCUA
rnacentral:lncRNA from 1 species